rnacentral:SRP_RNA from 1 species
GCUGGGUGUGGUGGUGCACACCUGUAAUCCAAGCUACUUGGGAGGCUGAGGCAGGAGAAUUGCUUGAACCUGGGAGGCGGAGGUUGCAGUGAGCCGAGAUUGUGCCACUGCACUCCAGCCUGGGCUACAGAGCAAGACUCUGUCUCAA